rnacentral:rRNA from 1 species
CUUGGGUAGCAAUAAGGAUUAGAUACCCUAGUAGUCCAAGCAGAAAAUGAUGAAUGUCAUAGACUAGAAAAUAUAUUUAGUCUAUAAAUGAAAGUGUAAGCAUUCCACCUCAAGAGUAAUAUGGCAACAUAUAAACUGAAAUCAUUAGACCGUUUCUGAAACCAGUAGUGAAGUAUGUUAUUUAAUUCGAUAACCCGCGAAAAACCUUACCACAGUUUGAAUAACAAUAAAAUUGUUACAAGCGCUGCACGGCUGUCUUUAGUUAAUGUCGUGAGAUUUGGUUAACUCCUCAAAUUAACGAAAACCCUCACUUUAUUUAUAUACAUAGAGUGGAACGCCGUUAUAUUGGACUGGUAAUAGGGAUUAAGACAAGUCAUCAUGGCCUAAAUACUGUGGGCUAUAGACGUGCCACAUACGCCUUAACAAAGGGAUGCAAUAUUGUGAAAUG